rnacentral:rRNA from 1 species
AUUGAACGCUGGCGGCAGGCCUAACACAUGCAAGUCGAACGAGUGGCGGACUGGUGAGUAAUGUCUGGUAAACUGCCUGAUGGAGGGGGAUAACUACUGGAAACGGUAGCUAAUACCGCAUACCAUCGGAUGUGCCCAUAUGGGAUUCGCUAGUAGGUGGGGUAAAGGCUCACCUAGGCGACGAUCCCUAGCUGGUCUGAGAGGAUGACCAGCGACACUGGAACUGAGACACGGUGCAGACUCCUACGUGAGGAAGCAGUGGGGAAUAUUGCACAAUGGGCGCAAGCCUGAUACAGCCAUGCCGCGUGUAUGAAGAAGGCCUUCGGGUUGUAAAGGACUUUCAGCGGGGAGGCGGUACCCGCAGAAGAAGCACCGGCUAACUCCGUGCCAGCAGACGCGGUAAUAC